rnacentral:rRNA from 1 species
UACGUAGGGUGCGAGCGUUGUCCGGAAUUAUUGGGCGUAAAGGGCUCGUAGGCGGUUUGUCGCGUCGGGAGUGAAAACCCAGGGCUUAACCCUGGGCUGGCUUUCGAUACGGGCAGACUAGAGGUAUGCAGGGGAGAACGGAAUUCCUGGUGUAGCGGUGAAAUGCGCGGAUAUCAGGAGGAACACCGGUGGCGAAGGCGGUUCUCUGGGCAUUACCUGACGCUGAGGAGCGAAAGUGUGGGGAGCGAACAGG